GACGAAGGAUGCAAGCGUUAUCCGGAUUCAUUGGGUUUAAAGGGAGCGUAGGUGGCCUUAUAAGUCAGUGGUGAAAUCUCUCGGCUUAAGCCGAGAAAUUGUCAUUGAUACUGUAGGGCUUGAGUACAGUUGCGUGUGGCGGAAUAUGACAUGUAGUGGUGAAAUACAUAGAGAUGUCAUAGAACACCGAUUGCGAAGGCAGCUCACAAAACUGUAACUGACACUGAGGCUCGAAAGUGACGGGGAUCAAACAGG
rnacentral:rRNA from 1 species